GAACAAACCCUAGGUGGGAAAAAUCAAAGAGAAAGUGUUGAAAUUCAAGGAUUUGAUCAAACAAAGGUAAAAUUUCUUUGAUUUUGCUAGUGAUUUACCUUACCCAUGCAUUUUCCCUUAAUUUUCAUAGUUAAAUUACAUGUUUUCAUGAUGAAUUCAUGGCUGGUCAAAAUGGGUAAGGAGAGAGAAAGAUGUUGGAUUAAAUUGAUUUUAAGAUAUGUUAGUGUUUUUAGUUAGUUUAGCAUAUUUGGAAGCAAAACAACAAGAAAAGAAUCCAUUUUCCCCAUGAAUCUUCAUUGGCCGAAUCUUUCUUGAUGUGUGUGGGUGAUGGAUUGUUAUUAUUUCAAGAGAAAUGGCUUAGAAAGUGAUGAAUAAUGGUGAGAAAAUUAAGUAGGAAAAAUCAUGGUGUUAGUGCACUGUAAUGGCCAAAUUUUUCCAUGAAGAAAUGGGAAGGUUUUGAUGCUGAAAUUGGUGUUAUUUGAAUAAUGUUUGGUGAAUUGAGGUAUUAGAAAUGAAAUGGAGCAAUUUGGAGCCAAAUCGGACAUAAUUGUCAUUUAAUCCGGUAAUAGGCUGAAUUAGGUCUGCACCGCAUUUAAGCGGUAGUCGGAUAAGUUGCAUAUCAUAUCAUGCAUAUACACCGAGCCUGAAUUUAUUUUAUAAUAGUCAAGCAUUAAUGUGGUGAAUUAUGUAUUGUACAUUGUGGAUAGGUGGUGAGUAAAUUACACUGGUAAAAGUACAGAGAUUGUGCUUGAAGACUAGGAUUAGGAGUACAUCGACUCAUAGAACUGUGAGUAAACUUAUUAUCGUCUUAAUUAUCUAGAGUAGUUUUAUACAAUUAUGUGAUUUUAUAGAAAAUGGGUUUAAAUGGUAAAUUGUUAUGUUUUAGGAAAAAUUGGGACUUUUAUAAAAUGAUUUUAUAAAUUUUCUGGAAAAUUGAAUACUAGUUUUGAAAAUAAAGUAAUUGGAGACUGCUUGCUUGUGUUAUAAAUUGUGUUUUAAAUUAUAUGGCUUAUAGCAAUAUGUGAGCAUGAAUGGCAAAGUCGGUAUUUGUAUCAAAAUUAUAUAUACUUUGUAUUCAACCUUGAAAGGCUAGAUUGCGAUAAAUUGUCAUGUCAUGCAGAUAAAGAUUUUAUAAAUCAGGUGGUAGAUAAAAUAAUCCAUAGUCACUGCAGUGGUGGGGGUUUCCGUGUACUGCCUAUGAGAGGGGCACGAUAACUCAGUUAUAUAUUUACCUCCGAUGGGAGAUGUUGGAUGAAGUAUCUCUUGAGGUAAAGAUUUGAGUGCACUUCACGUGGACCACCGCGUGAGAGUGAGACUCAGCCAACACCAAGGACCAGCUGUGUGUCAGAUGCGAAAACAUGUUUGUGGGUAUGGGACAUUUAACAGCCUUGGCGAUCUCAGUGGGAUACCUUGACGAAGGUACCCGCGAGAAUGAUUUUGGCAGGAGUCAAGUUUUGUGAGAUAUAUAAGCCAUGUUGAUUAAUUGAGUAAACUGAGUAUUCAUGUUAUGAAACAUAUAUUGGACAAGAAUAUUUUAAUUCGUCUCCAUUUACUCGCCUUUAGAUAGUUUAGAUGGUGUAUGCUUACUCACUGGGAUUUUGUAAUCUCACCACCCUCAUUUCCUCACAUAUCAGGCUCAGGGAAUUCCAUAGUUAGCUAACUUUGACAAGGACCUUCAUUUGGACUUGAAUCGGCAAAAGCUGUAGGUUUUCAGCUUUCAAUGCAUUUUGGUCAGUUGGGGGCCCAUGUGUCACUGUAAAAGUAAUUUUAUACUUCAAUUAUCUGAUUUAAAGUAUGUAUGAACAUAUUUAGCUUUUACACCAUGUUUUUGGUGGGUUUCGAUAUUUUCGAAAAAAAAAUAACGAAAAUGCCCAUGUGAGCCAGAAAAUAAUAUUUUAUUGUUUUGAUUUGGAAACGACUUAUGAUUUCUUGAAAUACGAGAUUUAAUAACUGUCGCUCACCGGGGAGAUGCGAAAGCUGAUGCUAAGCCUUGCGGGGUUUCGAUCG
rnacentral:lncRNA from 1 species